GUGAAAACAUACAGUGAAGUCUAAACCCUCCAUCCAAGCAGCCAUUGUAGGAAAUGUUUCUGUUGGAAAAGAUGGUAACAUAUGAAAAUAUUCCUAAAUCUCAUUUUUCCUCUGAAGCAUUACUUAACCCUCAGGCAAUAAAUUUCACUGAACUCACUGAAGUGAGAAAUGGACCUUUUUAAUAAGGCUUUUAACUACACAUCUUAAUGAAACUUAAACAAAUGGUGUCCCUGCCACUAUGUUGGCUGCAUGUGUGUUUAUGUAUACUAUGUAAGAAGCAUACAUAUUUUUCAUGUUUAGAGAUUUACUGUUCUAUGGUAAUUUUCAAACAGCACUGGAAAAUAAACAGACAAUUCUUUCUUUUUAAUAACUGCAGUUUGCCAGCUUUCUUCUUUACCUGAGUAAUGACCACCAGGAGGGGCUUCACAGCAGCUUGUUUUGUUCCUAGAUCCAGAAAAAUAUGUGCAUUUGCCUACAAGGACAGUGUGCAUUUUAAGAGCCAGCUGUUACCAGGACUGCAAGCAUUCCUGUUGUUUGUUUUUGGAGGAGCCCUGUGUGGUUGUGUCGAAGCCCAGACGAUGUACAAAUUCGCCAGUGGUCACUGUGAAGAACACCAUGAUAUUUUAAAGGUAAAGGAAUCAAAUUUACAUCAGUUGCUUCCAGGACUCGUAUCCUGUGCCAGCAGAAGUGGAAGAGAUACUGUUUUGUAGAGAGCUGCUCUGAUCAGUAUUCUUGAUGUGUGUCGUAGUGGUAGGAAGUAGCAAUAAUCAUAAUUAUAUUAAAACUCCCAUAUACUACGAAGCUAAGUGUUAAAGGGGAUAAAGCUAAGCAUGGGUAGCUAGCUGGGUAGUACCAGCUACUAUUUUCAGUAGUAAAGCAUGUUAUGUAUGUUGUGCAUGUCAUACACUGACUGAUCCCUUUCAUUCUGAAAGGGAUUUCCAGGUAUAUCUUGGGUAUUUUUAGCAAAAGUGGAAGAAAAACAUAAUGUAAAACAAGAAUAGAUUUUCCUAUUGUUUAUAGAGACAGUUUUGAUUUCCUAGGAGUAAGCAAAGGGCAUGAGGGUAAUAACUGACUUGAAGAAAGAAUGUGAAUUAGAAAGGGCAAUAAUCCUUGGAGCUUGCCCUGCUGCUGGAAAGCAGUGGGUUUCCUUCUGGCCAGAGCAAAGUUUUCAGUGAGAUUGGACACAUCAAAGCAGGUUACAAAGACCAGACUGCUGGUUUCCCUAAAAAACACUCUGCAGAUGUUUGAGCACACAUUAACAGAACUAUUUCUUAAAAGUCCAGCUACAACAAAUUACAUCAAAUAACUGCAAGCAGUUUCAUUGCUUGGUGCCCUGAUCUUCCCUGCAAAUUAUUUGGGCAGAGUCCAAGUAUGAGAAAUACCGGCAAAACCUAGUAAUGUAUCCUUGCAGAAACUGAUCCAACAGUAGAAAGAGGAAUUCUAAUUCAACUAGUAAAUGUAAAAGGGAUUUCUUUGUCAUACUUGCCAUCCAUACAAAUUACUGGGUUACCCAGCUACCCAAACUUUAUCUGUGUCCAUACCCCCUCAGUAAAAUUCUCCAGCUCAAUUGCCACAUGUAAUAGUCUACUCACCUAAUCACCUCUUAUUUUUCUCCUUCCAGGUUUCUAUGUCAAUGCAUGAGUUUUUAAAUAAUUUGAUAAUUUUCAUAACGUGCUUGGACUUGAUUCUCUAACCUGUAUUUCAGGAAGCAGUUCAUCAGUGUGGGUGACUCCAUGGUAGCCUCACCUGAAAACUUUCCAGGUUUCCUAAAUUCCACUGUCUUGCACAUGUUUGUUAUAACUUCAUAGCAACUAUGUCCAUAUGCAGAAUGAUGAAAGGGUGAUUUAUUUUUUAUUAUCUGACUAGAAUAAUGCUGAAGAAGCAAUGAAGCUUGUGUAUUAUGAAAAGACAGAACAGGGAUAUCCGAGCAUGUACAGUGGGGGAAUAAGAAAUGAAUUUUACAGCAUCCUUCAGAAAGUUUAUCAUAAGGAAAACUUGUCUUUGAAACCUUCUCUUCCUCAGUGGGAAAAUAAUAUAUACGUGAAAAUCAUGGGUUUUCUUGGCUUCUAGUAUCACCAGAGUUUUCUUGGAAGUAAAGGAGCAGUCCUGCUUUCAUUAAUUCCAAAAAAGCUUUGCAUUCAAGCUAUUCACCUGGAGUGAAGGGCUACCUAAUUCAGUCUGCACACAUGGAUUAUGCAUCCUAUGUGAAAGUCUUUGAUCCAUGAGAAAACCAACAUUUGUUGAUCUGUUUUGCACCGUAUCUUGCAAUGAAUGCUUUUGCAUAUAUGUAUUUUAUUGUAUCUGAUGUCUAAAAAAGAAUUUACUGAAUAACACUUGAGUGAAUAAACUGAAAGUUUCUCAAGAGUCA
ensembl:lncRNA